rnacentral:lncRNA from 10 species
UCCCAAAGUUCUGGGAUUAGAGGUGUGAGCCACUGUGCCCGGCCGGUUUUUAAUUUUUAUAAAGACCAGGUCUUUGCUCUGUUGCCCAGGCUGGAGUGCAGUGGCAUGACCAUAGCUUACUGCAGCCUUGAACUCCUGAGGUCGAGCAAUCUUCUAGCCUCAACUUCCUGAGUAGCUAGGACUACAGGCAUGCAACACCAUGCCCGGCUAAGACAUCCUACUUUAAAAUAUGUCAAACUUCACAGCACAGUUCUUUUUUUAAAAUACAGAUUUAAUGAGAUAAUUUACAUGUCAUACAAUUCAAACAUUGUAAGUACACAUUUGGAUGACCUUUAAUUUAUACUGUUGUGUAGCCAUCACCAUAAUCCACUUAUAGAAAACUUCCAUCACCCCAAAACGUUCCCUUGGGCCUAUUUGUAGUCAGUCUCUGCUCUCACCCCCAGCCAACCUCUGAUCUACUUUGCAUGGUUUUUGCCUUUUCCAGAAAUUUCAUAGAAAUGGAAUAAUAGCAUAUAAUUUUUUUGGUCUGGCUUCUUUCACUUAGCAUCACGUUUCUGAGGCUCAUCUGUGUUGUAGGUAUGAGUGGUUUGUUCCUUUUCAUUGCUGAGUGGUAUUCCAUUAAUGCAAUUGUGUCAUCAUUUGCUUAUCCAUUUAUCUGUUGAUAGACAUUUGGAUUGUUUCUAGUUUGGGAAAUAAAUAAUUCUGUUUUGAACUCAUGUACAAAUUGUUGUUUUCAUUUCUUUUGUACAUAUACUUAGGAGUGGAUUGCUGGGUUUUAAGGUAAGUGUAACUUUUUAAGAAACUGCUGGCCAGGUGUGGUGGCUCACACCUGUAAUCCUAGCACUUUGUGGGGCCAAGACAGGUGGAUCACUUGAGCCCAGGAGUUGAAGUCCAGCCUGGGCAACAUGGUAUAACCCUGUGUCUACUAAAAAUACAAAAAUUAACCCGUCGUGGUGGCACAUGCCUGUAAUCCCAGCUACUCAGGAGGCUGAGGCAGGAGAAUUGCUUGAACCCGGGAGGUGGAGGGCUCUACUAAAAAUAGAAAAACUGAGGUGGGAGGAUCACCUGAACCUGGGGAGGUCAAGGCUGCAGGGAGCCAUAAUUGUGCCUGCACUCCAGGUCUCGCCCUGUCGCCCAGGCUGGAGUGCAGUGGCGUGAUCUCGGCUCACUGCAACCUCUGCCUCCUGGGUUCAAGAAAUUGUCCUGCCUCAGCCUCCCAAGUAGCCAGGACUACAGGUGCACGCCACCACGCCCAGCUAAUUUUUUGUAUUUUAGUAGAGACAGGGUUUCACUGCAUUGUCCAGGCUGGUCUUGAAUCCCUGAGCUCAGGGAAUCUCCCCCCUCAGCUUCUCAAAGUGCUAGGAUUACAGGCAUGGGCCACCACACCCGGCCGAUAUAAAACUUUUAACAAAACCCCAGACUUUAUUCCAAUGACAAUUUUUCUGCUGGGCAUGGCGGUUCACGCCUGUAAUCCCAGCAUUUUGGGAGGCUG